rnacentral:rRNA from 1 species
AUUGAACGCUGGCGGAAUGCUUUACACAUGCAAGUCGAACGGCAGCACGGGAGCUUGCUCCUGGUGGCGAGUGGCGAACGGGUGAGUAAUAUAUCGGAACGUAUCCAAUAAUGGGGGAUAACUAGUCGAAAGAUUAGCUAAUACCGCAUACGCCCUGAGGGGGAAAGCUGGGGAUCUUCGGACCUAGCGUUAAUGGAGCGGCCGAUAUCUGAUUAGCUAGUAGGUGAGGUAAAAGCUCACCUAGGCGACGAUCAGUAGCUGGUCUGAGAGGACGACCAGCCACACUGGAACUGAGACACGGUCCAGACUCCUACGGGAGGCAGCAGUGGGGAAUUUUGGACAAUGGGGGCAACCCUGAUCCGGCCAUUCCGCGUGAGUGAAGAAGGCCUUCGGGUUGUAAAGCUCUUUCGCAAGGGAAGAAAACUUAACCUCUAACAUAGGUUGAGGCUGACGGUACCUUGAUAAGAAGCACCGGCUAACUACGUGCCAGCAGCCGCCGUAAUAC